GCCUCUGUGGAUCAUGGUACUGAUCGCCUUGAUUUAAUCGGGGAAUAUUCGAAAUAAGAUUCAUCGAGAUGGAGGUUCGAUUCCUCCCAGAGGCA